rnacentral:rRNA from 1 species
AUUGAACGCUGGCGGCAGGCUUAACACAUGCAAGUCGAGCGGAGAUGAGGUGCUUGCACCUUAUCUUAGCGGCGGACGGGUGAGUAAUGCUUAGGAAUCUGCCUAUUAGUGGGGGACAACAUUCCGAAAGGAAUGCUAAUACCGCAUACGUCCUACGGGAGAAAGCAGGGGAUCACUUGUGACCUUGCGCUAAUAGAUGAGCCUAAGUUGGUGUAGCUAGUUGGUGGGGUAAAGGCCUACCAAGACGACGAUCUGUAGCGGGUCUGAGAGGAUGAUCCGCCACACUGGGACUGAGACACGGCCCAGACUCCUACGGGAGGCAGCAGUGGGGAACAUUGGACAAUGGGGGGAACCCUGAUCCAGCCAUGCCGCGUGUGUGAAGAAGGCCUUAUGGUUGUAAAGCACUUUAAGCGAGGAGGAGGCUCUUUUGGUUAAUACCCAAGAUGAGUGGACGUUACUCGCAGAAUAAGCACCGGCUAACUCUGUGCCAGCAGCCGCAGUAA